rnacentral:rRNA from 1 species
UACGUAGGGAGCAAGCGUUGUCCGGAAUCAUUGGGCGUAAAGCGCGCGUAGGCGGCCUCAUAAGUCCGCUGUGAAAGUCAAAGGCUCAACCUUUGAAAGCCGAUGGAUACUGUGAGGCUAGAGUCCGGAAGAGGCGAGUGGAAUUCCUGGUGUAGCGGUGGAAUGCGCAGAUAUCAGGAGGAACACCAAUAGCGAAGGCAGCUCGCUGGGACGGUACUGACGCUAAGGCGCGAAAGCGUGGGGAGCGAACAGG